rnacentral:sRNA from 1 species
UGGCCCACUGAGUCGUGCGGGUGAGAUGCUGCGUUCAGGUUCGAGCAUCGCGCAGCGAUACAACAACGCGCAGCGUUGCCCGUAGGGUGAGGCCACAGGCCGAAUCAAUCCUGCACGACCCACCA